rnacentral:lncRNA from 1 species
AGGGAAGGAAUUAAAACAAGAAGGCGAAAUAAUAAUAAUAAUAAUCAAGGAGAUAUAAAACAAGGCUAAAUAUAGAUCACACUGACAGACAAUUUUUCACAUGCAUCAAAAGCUGCCUCAAAACAGAUCCAACAAACCAAAUCACAACCACAACCGAAAAAAAAAAGAGCACAAGGCCAGACGGCUAUCCUAUCAGGCAGUACUACAUGAAGCAACUAGUGGACUGGAGCGAAGGAACGAAGCACACAUCGGGUGAGAUGCGAUGGAUGGAUCGAUCAGCGCUUGAUGGCCUUGACCUUGUUCCACGUCUUCUUGCCGAAGUCGCCGACGACCCUGACGCCCUUGAGCACCGCCACCUUCACCUCCAUGGUCCGCUCCUUCACCUGCCGCUGGAACCCUCCCAUCCCUUCUCUCUUCUCUUCUCUUCUUGGUCGGAGAGGAUUCCUGUGGGCUGUGGCUCGCUGGAGGAGACAAAGAAGAAGACGACGGCGAUUGGCGAUUUGCCGGGUUGGGUGGCGAAAAUGUCGUGCGGAUGGUGGUGGGCUAGCACUGGGGAAUGGGGAUAUAUAUUAGCCGGUGCGCGUUUGCGUGUGGACCUGAGCCGGAUGGCGGAGGCUGAGCUGUAAAGCAUGAGGUGUGGUGUACCUGCGGGCUGCGGCGGCGGUUGAAGGAUGGUUGGAUGGAUUGCCAGGGAACCAGCUUGAAUCACAAGUCAUAAACUUAAAACCUAAAAAAAACAAUUCACAAACAGGAGCGUGGUAUACUAGCAGUUGGGGCGGGGAGAAGAUCUGUGGGCCUGGUGCACGGGCACAGCUCACUGGGUCCAGCUGUCAACGGGUGCUGGCGGCUGCUGUUCCGGUUCUCAAGUGUGUCGUCGCUUUUUUGAAGGAGGGCUGGUCCAUGUGCUCCGGAAUCCAGCAACGGCGCAACGACCCGGGCGCCAAGCGCGGAGCCAAGGCGACAGGCGUGACAUGUGGCCAACGCAUCGGCACAGUUCGGGGGGCCCAGCUGGCAACGACUGCUGUGGUGUGCAAUUACUCCGGAUUAUACGUACGACAAUUCACAUACGAAUUCUGUCCGACGGAGCAGAUCAAACCGCAUGUUAGUUCGACUCGAAGUCCAGCGACGGCCGGAUGUUGCAUCGUACCAAAUCGGACAAGCCAUGGUCGUACGUGUAGUAGUUUCGAUUGCUCCGGCCCUCUCCCCGUUCGUCUGGUCUUCUUCUUCCUCCCUUGGUUUCUAAACAAAGGAUGUGGGUCCUGGGAUGGGAAACUUUGGCUAGAUAUUUGAUGCCUCGCGUGCCGGCAAUUGCUGCCCGAGAUAUUUCCUCGAUGACACGUCGGUGAAGAAUCAUGUAUACCCCUGUUCUGCUCCCUCGGUGAGCUUUGACCUGGAUCGCAGUCGCUCAUGUAUACCCUCUUCUCUCGGUGACGAGUGGCACGCACGUUUCUUUCGAUGAAGAACUCUCCACUUGGCAUUAUCCAUCGAGCAUAUGCACCAGCACAUUGGCACGGUCCUGCUCGUGCCACCACACUCGCAGCUGUGACUGUGAGAAAGCAUCCUACAACGGCAUGGGAGAGCGUGCCAUCCGACGACCGAGCGGCGAUGGCGGAAUGUUGGGGGCGCCCCCGGCUGAUGGGACCAGGCGCUAAACACGACCCACCUCCCCCCUCCCCCGUGUAAGAGCAUCUUCAAUGAUUGUAAGAUAGUUGUUGGUAGGCUUUGUCACAUAGGAUUUUUGAUGAUGUGUCAUACAAUAAAUGAGAGAAGAGAGAAAGAUUGUACUCCCUCCAUCACAGUUUGUUGGGCGUAUCUCACGUCGCUCUGGGCCCAAGAUACGGCGCGAUUGGCAGGAAAUAACGAGGCGCUGGAGCUGCGAUAUUGAAGGAGAUGCGUCUAAUUAAUCGCAUGCACACGGCCAUGCGGAGCAAACCACAAACUGAUUCCCACUUGCGGCCUGUUCAUACUUGCAUGUGCUGCACAAAUCCAUCCAUGUUCCCACUUGCAUGCGCUUCAGGAAGAGAAACGGAAGGAGUUUAAUCAACAGCCAAAACACCCCAACUAAUACUCUAAUUAAUGACCUGCGCCCUAUUUCCUUCCGUUUGUGAAAAAUCCUGGUUUUGGAGAUACGUCCAACAAACUGUGAUGGAGGGAGUAUGUACAUUAACCAACACCCUUUGCACAAGCUUUAAUGUAGAAUAAGAGAGCACCUUAUUUAUUAUCUCAUAUCUUAUUAGGCAAACUACAUACAACUCAUUGAAGUUGUUGUAUAUUAAGGUGUUGGUUGAUGACAUGGUAUAUUUUACCAACAAGCUAACAUAUAGACUGUUGGAGAUGCCCUAACCUCUACCACUCCUACUGUAAAAGAAAAAAAAAAGACGAGUGCAGAGUGCUACGCUUCGCGUUCAGCGCCCACCAAUUUGGUGCGUGUGGCCAAGGGCAGCUCCUGCGGUAUUGCAUUUGCAACACAAACCCAGCGACCUUGUACCUUGUGGGCCCAAGUGGGUCGGAUUUUGCUGACGGGUAGAAGUACUUCUUUUUCUUCCGAUCAAAGCAAAAGCCUACUCUCCUGGGCUCCUGGCAUUAGGUUUUGCUCAUUGCAAAUUGUCCAUGUUAUUAACAUUGUGAGCAAAGCCAUUUCUUUGCGCCUUCCCAGCCCAUCGUGCGCCACGAUGGGUGCACGAUGAUUCACACCAAGAUCGAACAUCAUUGAAGCCAGGCCAUGAGCCUGGGUCAAAAAAGAAGAAGGCCAAACCAAUAUUUUCACCAAUCGCCAAACUCUCAACGAUAACCAACAAUGGAGAAGCAAGUGAGUUGUCGUCUCUGCCUCCCUCUUCCAAAGCGUACAUAGGCCGCAAUUUGGCCACCCACGCCUCAUAAGACGACGAUCGGCCGUUUGGACCCGAUUUUGGAUGAUAAGCCAUCCAAUGAUCUUGCACUUAGGUGCGCCCAAACCUUCCAUAUUGGUGCCGGGACGCUGACAAAUUGUGUCUUGCAUGAGGAGGCCGUGGGGUAGCGAGAGGAGCUCGUCAACUUCCAUGUUAUGGUAUCAUCUUGGUCCACAUGGAGAGUGAUAUGAGGUGAAAGACCUAAGGUUAAAGAAUUCUUGGAGAUGUUGCAUUGUCAUGCCUUUGUUAGUGUCAAUACACCCAAGCAUCGUUUAAAAUUGCCUUGCUUACACAAAAAGCCUGGGCAUAAAACCAAAGACCUAACCCAUAUAAACUGAAAUAUAUAUAAAAGACCAAACUAAAAUCACUCGUCAAAACUAGAAGAAUGAAUUAAAUUCGUCAGAUCGUCUUCUUUUCUGGAUGACAAAAUAACCUCGAUAGACCGAAUUAGCAAAUUAUUUGGAUGCUCAGCAUAAUUGGCACAAUCCCCUGUCUUCCCUAGAUGUUUAUGGCACAAUUCUUGCUGAAUACACCUGCUACGUACACGUCAUGUGAAUUAUUAUUUUUAACCUACAUGUUACACUUACCUGCUGAAGUCCCUUUGAAUACACAUGUAUUGCAAUGGACAUGAAUCUGAGUUGUAGCAUGAAAUUUGGUCUGUACGGUCGAGACCAAAGACCAUCCCGUGAAGAUUGAAGACCAAAUAAUGGAGAACCGAGAACACCGGACCGAGAUCACGCAUGCUUGUGCGUAUUCGAGAAAAAGAACACCGGACCGAGCAAAACAAAAAGACCAAACACCUGGGCUUACCACAUGGUUCCAAAAUAUGUUUCUACUCUACAAAAUAUGUGUACUCUCGAAAAACAUACUACAAAAUCUGAAAAUUUUGCUCCAGCGGAAAAUACACAGCAGAGUUCAUAUGAAGCAACAAGUUGGUACAAGUGCCGGUUCCCUGAACACACAAGCAAAAUGCCUUCCGAGUUAACAGUUCAGUAGUUCAGCGAGACAGUGGCCCAGCGCUCAGGAGUAAAACAUCAUCUAAAACAGCUAUCUGUGGCAAAACUUAAUCUACAUGCAAAGGCUUCUUCUACAAAUCUUUCUUGGGCGCCUUCCUCUUCAUCCGGCUGAAAGGGCCGACCGUCUGGUCCAUGACGUACAUGUAUAUCACCUGGCUCCAGGACCUGUAUGAUUUCAGACUGUCAUAGUACUCCGGCGCGAUCUCCUUCACCUUGUGCAGCUUGGCGCCGGGGAUCCUGGGGAAGUCGUGGUGCUCGUUGUGGUACCCCACGUGCCACGUCAUCAGGUUCAGCGGCCCGUAGUACGAGUAGGUCUCCUGCUCCGGGCUGAACACGUAGUGCUCCGAGAUGAAGUGGCCGGCCAUCGGGUGCAUGCCACCGCCGAGGAACGUCGACAGGAUGAGGUAGGCCAGCGACUUCCAGCCGUAGAGGUACACCAUGGCCGCGUCGAGCGCCACCUGGAUCAUCAGGUUGGUGAACUCCCACAGGCCCGGAGGCUUCGGCUUCAGGAAGAGCGGCCUGAGCGCGUAGAAGAAGAGCUGGAGCACGACCCAGAUGGAUUUGCUGACGGUGUUCUUUACGACGUGCGCCUCCGUCUGGCUGGGGAUGUCCAUGUCGAUCCCGUCCACGCCUUGGAACCGGUGGUGCUCCAGGUGGUAUUUCUGGAAUGUCACCGACAUUGGGACGCCGAUGGGGAGGUUUGCGAAGAUGCCUAGCCAGCGGUUCAGGGAUGGGGUGGCGAAGGCGAGGUUGUGGCUGAGCUCAUGGAUCGCGAGGAAGAGGUUGUGAUUCAGAAAGGAACCGAAAAAGUAAGCGACCGGCAGUAUCUUGGACCAGCCUGCGUCGCGCAGCAGCGUGGCGGUCCAUAGCUGGAGUGAAACAACUGCGGCUAUCUGCAAUCAAAGUUCAGACGGAUAUGAAAAUAUAUCAGUAAUAAAUUAGAAUUUAUGCUGUUUUUUAUGGUGUUAUUUUCACACACAAAGAUGAUCGGAGAAGUUUCCAUAUACAGAUUCUCCAAUUAAUUUAGGGACUAACUCACUAAUCAUAAUAUUACGAACAUCAACGUCCAACAAAACAAGGUCCCCUAUUUUCCUACAUGGGUCGUGAGAUAUAAGUUUUAGCAUGAGAUUAUACGGCUAACUCAAGUUGCCAGCAUGACUUGCCAAGGUGCAUUGCAAGUGAGAAGUUCAAAGACCAACAUAGUAACUGUUGGUCACGCGAACAGAAAAGCACCAACUUUGCACAUGAAGCUGAAGUCUCACAUUAGCAACGACACAGGAAGAGCACCUAGUUGGUUCUGACAAUUACAAAGGGAAGAUGCAGAGGUGCAGUAGUGCAGUCGUACAGAAACACAAUAACCAUUUCAGGCAAGAAAAGCAUGACAUAACAGAUUCAGGACCAUUCUGCAGAACUCUGAGGCCAACAAAGUGCCAGAUAAUUUAAUAAUUUCUUGCCAGAAUAGUGGUAGCAAAUACUACAGACUAUUGCAACAUUAAACAUGAUGGCUCCCCUAUCUCUAAGUGUUCUUCUUAUUGAUGAUUUAUCUCUUUUCCACCAUAAUACCCAAGUCUGUGGACAUCUUAAUUCGUUUGCCUGUACAGAAAGUUGCCCGGUUUCAGUCUACAAGAAAUUUAAUUCGGUCCACAGAAACUCCUACUUCCUGGACUUGCAGUCAUCAAGAGCGACAUCACUAGAGACCUGGAUGUGGAGCCCAUGAUCUAGAUGUGGACAUGUAACAACCAGGCUUUUGCUCAGGCCAACGAACAUUGCAUUAGAUUGCAUCCAAACAAAAUGUUAGUCCGCUGUAUAGUAGGAGUACUAAAGAAGGGACUAGGAAGAUUGCGCGGGACGACAUUCCACUUCAGUGAACGCGCACAAGUACACUAGAAUACAGAAGAUACACGGUACAUCCAGUGAAGCUACACCGCAUGAAUGUGCUACACCAUGCAUCAUCUCAUUUAUUUCCUAAGAUAAAAGGGUAGCCACCCGUUUGGGAUGAGUGGCCAGUUAAUCAGACAAGAAAAUACAGCAGUAGAGUAAUUUUUUACUGGCUUUUUUCUGGAAGUUGUUAAAGUAAGCUGCUGCAAUGAAACUUAAGGCUAGGAAUCUAACUGCUUGGGCAUAUGGCAGGGAAAAAGCUGAAGGAAUAAAAACGAGACGACCACCACCACCACAAUGCAAGCAAAACAAAUCCACGCUUAAACCAGCAGAGAAGUCGAUCUACGGAAGAUCUCAAUCUAAAAGGAGACUGGGAAAUAGAUCACGGCACCUUGAUGAAGGCGAGAGGGUCCGGGCCGAAGAGCACCUUGAUCUGCGGGUACUUGGCCAGGAUCUCCCGGCGGCGCGACGCGUGCGGCUCGUCCGUGUACGACCAGAAGAAGUCCGUCGUCAUCACGCCUUCCUCCUUCUCGUCGGCGUCCGCGCGUGUCGCGCCCAUUGCUUCCUCUCCUCCGAAGGCUCCGGCAAUGGUGGCUGCUCCUAGGCGGAAGAGACGGGGACGGGGGAAGGGUGGGCGGGAGCUGCGCGCUGGCCGGCUGCGUUGAUUGGAGAAGCCCCGCCUAUGGAGUUGGUCGGGGUGCUCGUUAUUUGAGGGAGUCCAGUUCAGGUGGGGGUGCGGGCAUAGGAGAUGGACGUGCGCCCUGGACCAGGAUAUCUGCACGGAGGUACAGCGUGAUGGAGUAUUGGAGUUGGAAUAGUGCGUUUUUUUCACAUGGGGACCCCGCAUGUCUCUGACGCCAUGGGCCCGGUUUCUUUUUCUUUUGAUAGCUAUAAUUUUGUCGAUAACUCCAAAGUGAGAUCUCGAACUCGGAAGAACCGUAACUCUUUUGCGGUUGACACAGGCCCAAUUACUACCUGAAAUACUAAUUAAGAAGCACUCUUUGUAAUCACUUCCAUCUUAUAUGCGCCACUUUGUCGUAACGUAAGAGUUUUUUUAAUCCAUUUAUUCAAAACGUUUUAUCUCUUAAGCCGUGCGUUCGAAUUUCAUUUUCAAUGUUGAAUUCCUUGUGUCGAGAUCUUCAAAAUUAGACCCAUAGAUUUUUAACAAACUUUUUUUUCCACGAAAGAACCACACCAGGAGCAUGUUUUUUCCUUUCCGAAAGCUGUUUCCGAGUGGCACGGUCGUGCCUCUCGCCGAAGCAAAUUGUGUCUCUCGCGGAAGCAAAAUCGUGCCUCUCGCGAAAAGGAAAAAAAGAAACAUUUUUUUUCGUUUCUGAGAGGCACGGCCGUGCCUCUCGCGGAAUGGAAAAGAAAAAAAAUGCAUUUUUUUCAUGUUUGAGAGGCACGACCGUACCUCACACAGAAAAAAAUCCGUGCCUUUCACGGAAGCAAAAUCAUGCCUCUUAUGAAAGGAAAAAAAGAAGAGAUUUUUUUGCUUUUUCUGUUUCUGAGAGGCACGAACAUGCCUCCCACGAAAGCAAAAGAAAAAAAAACAUUUUUUUGUUUUCGGGAGGCACGGCCGCGCCCCUCGCGAAAGCAAAAGAAAAAAACACGUUAUUUCGCGCAAUUUUUUUUCGAUUUUUUAUCGAAAAGCUAAGAAAGACAGGUGGGAAAUCAAAAAAACCAUCUAAAAAGCCAAAAACACGCGUGGAAAAAUAAAAACAAAAUUCAGAGGGAGCGCCAAAGCGCAACAAGUGGCGCGCUCUCAGUCCAUCCCAAGUGACUCUUGGGGAGGCUCCCGAAGGAGCGCUGCUCAAUUAGUUGCUCUCAUUAGUACCUCUUCUUUUUUUUUCAAAAACAAGCCCAAUUGCCUACAUGGCUUCAAUUUUUGGGCUUCACUUUUUCCCCUUGAAAACUAUCCUUCUAGAACUUUGAGCAUAUAUUCCCCUGAAAAAAGGACUUUUAGCAUAUGAUUCUGCAAAUGGAUUGCAUAACAGAUCUAAUAGCCUAGGAGCCACAUACCUCCUCAUUUAGGGUUUCUUUUCCCUCGUUGGCGACAGUGGCGAAGUCAACCUCGAGAAUCUGUUGGGUCAUUGCUAUUUUUUGAUUUUUUUUCUUCACAGUGUACAGUAGAUGCACAAUGUUUUAGGCUAUUUUCCUCAAAAGUUGCGGGGUCAAUGGACCUCAUAGCCAACACAUAGAAACACCAUUGGUUGGUGAUUUGCACCGAUGGAACGAGAUUGGUACACUGAUCUUUACCAAAUCGCCCCCUCUCACAUGCAGGGAGGGUGUUUUUUGUGCCAAUGUCUGCGGACGACAGUCUGGUGGGGAAACCUAGCGAUGCCAGCAAAGACUAGUUCUCCAUCAGUGGUAGGGAAGAGGUAUGCGAUUGAUGUGGAGGAGAUGCUGAAAAACAUAGAACAACUUGAUCGUGAACUCAAUGAUGUGGUGGUCUGAUACGUCUCUAACGUAUCUAUAAUUUUUGAUUGUUCCAUGCUAUUAUAUUAUUUGGAUGUUUUGUGUGCAUUAAUAUCUUAUUUUAUGUUAUUUUUGGGACUAACCUAUUAACCUAGACCCCAGUGCCAGUUUUUUUCCUUGUUUUUGAGUUUUACAGAAAAGGAAUAGCAAACGGAGUCCAAACGGAAUAAAAAUUUCGCGAUGAUUUUUCUUGGACCAGAAGACACCCGGAAGACUUGGGGAGGGGUCAGAAGACUCACGAGGAGUCCACAAGCGCUCAGGGUGCGCCCUUGGCUUGUGGACCCCUCGGGAGUCCCCAAACCCUAAUCUUUUCCUAUAAAUUCCCAAAUAUUCCCCCAACAUCAGAAGCAUCCAUGAAAAUAGUUUUCCGCCACCGCAAGCCUCUGUUCCCGUGAGAUCCCAUCUUGGGGCCUUUUCCGGCACCCUGCCGGAGGGGGAUUCUGUAACACCCACGAUGCGGCUAUAUCUCCCAUGUGUCGGGGCACGACUUAGAGGCAUAGCCGCAUGGUAGGCAUGUCGCAAGAGGGGUAAUCUUUACACAUCCCAUGUACUGAAUAGAAAGGGAUAAAGAGUUGGCUUACAAUCGCCACUUCACACACAUACAAGUUAAACAUACAUCAUCCAGAGUACAAUCAAGGUCCAACUACGGAACCAAAAUAAAGGAAGACAACCCCAAAUGCUAGAUCCCCGAUCGUCCCAACUGGGCUCCACUACUGAUCAACAAGAAGCGAAACAACACAACGAACAAGAUCUUCGUCGAGCUCCCACUUGCGUUCGGUUGUGCCACCUGCACUGGUAUCAUCGGCACCUGCAACUGUUUGGAAGUAUCCGUGAGUCACGAGGACUCAACAAUCUCACACCCGCGAGAUCAAGACUAUUUAAGCUUAUAGGUAGGAAAGGGUAGUGAGGUGAAGCUGCGGCAAAGCACUAAGCAUAUAUGGUGGCUAACAUACGCAAAAGAGAGCGAGAAGAGAAGCAAAGCACGGUCGAGAAGCUAUAAAUGAUCAAGAAGUGAUCCUGAAACUACCUACGUUCAAGCAUAACACAAGACCGUGUUCACUUCUUGGACUCCACCGAAAAGAGACCAUCACGGCUACACACGCGGUUGAUUCAUUUUAAUUAAGUUAAGUGUCAAGUUCUCUACAACCGGACAUUAACAAAUUCCCAUCUUCCCAUAACCGCGGGCACGGCUUUCGAAAGUUCAAAACCCUGCAGGGGUGUCCCAACUUAGCCCAUCACAAGCUCUCACGGUCAAUGAAGGAUAUUCCUUCUCCCAGGAAGACCUGAUCAGACUCGGAAUCCCGGUUACAAGACAUUUCGACAAUGGUAAAACAAGACCAGCAAAGUCGCCCGAUGUGACGACAAAUCCCGAUAGGAGUCGCACGUAUCUCGUUCUCAGGGCACACUGGAUAGGUCAAGCUACGAGUAAAACCAACCCUCGAGUUGCCCCGAGGUGGCCCUGCAGGCUGCCCAUUUCGAACCAACACUCAGAACACAAGGGAAGGUAUAUGGUGGUAGGUAGGAAAAUGGUAAAGCCAAGGUUGGGCCUCGCUGGAGGAGUUUUAUUCAAAGUGAAUUGUCAAGGGGUUCCCAUAACACCCAACCGCGUAAGGAACGCAAAGUCAAGGAACAUAACACCGGUAUGGCGGAAACUAGGGCGGCAAGAGUGGAACAAAACACCAGGCAUAAGGCCGAGCCUUCCACCCUUUACCAAAUAUAUAGAUGCAUUAAAGUAAAUAAGAGAUAAUAAUGAUAUCCCAACAAUAUCCAUGUUCCAACAUGGAACAAACUCCAUCUUCACCUGCAACUAUCAACGCUAUAAGAGGGGCUGAGCAAAGCGGUAACAUAGCCAAACAACGGUUUGCUAGGAAAGGUGGGUUAGAGGCUUGACAUGGCAAUAUGGGAGGCAUGAUAUACCAAGUGGUUGGUAUCGCGGCAUAGCAAUAGAGCGAAUAACUAGCAAGCAAAGAUAGAAGUGAUUUCGAGGGUAUGUUCAUCUUGCCUGCAAUGUUCUCAGAGUUGACGAAAGCUUGCUCCUCGUUAGCGUACUCAACAGGUUCCUCGAUCAUGUACUCGUCUCCCGGCUCUACCAAAAGGCAAGAACACAAGCAAAGGACCAACAAUCAAUCACAGUGCAAUGCACAAGCAACAUGAUGCAAAACAUGGCAUGGCAUGCGAGAUGUGUUAUGCAAUGCAUAUGCGUGCCCUGAAAGGAAAAUGGUGAACAAGGCAUCAACUUGGCAAACCAAGUGUGCCACUGGAAAGAUGAGAUGAUUUCGGUCGAAAUCAAUAUAAAGAUCACCGGAAACGGAGGCACGGUUUGCAAAUGGCAAGCAAAACAAGAAUGGCACAAUUCUGCGAUUAACAGCACGAUGCCAUCUAGAAUGCAACAAGAAACUAAGCUACUGCACCCCAACAUAGCAACAAAGUACAUGGCAGUGAUCUACUCAAGAUGCUUGACAAAACAUGAACACUGAGCUACGGCUAAAUCACACAAGAGCAGGUUCAAACAAGCAUGGAAAAAGUGCAAAAGAUAUCAGCUUCACAGACUUCGUGAAAACACUAACAUGCCAGAAAUAACAUCAGGAGGCCAUGUUUAGAGCAAUCAAACAACAUGCUAAAGGAACUUAUCAUAGCAGAAAAAGGCAUGUCAUGAAUAUACUAAAUGCAUAGAACAAAAGACCCUUACUGAUCAUGAGACAACAAGGCACAGAAGAUAUGAUGGCACCUAUGUAAACAUAGCAAGUUUUAUUAACAGUUUCAGACUUAGCAGAAAACAGAGCAUGGCAUAAAUAGAAAAAUGAAGGCAUCUUUGCGAGCUCAAAUCACUCAUCACAAAGUCUUGCAUGACAAGAUAAGCAUACUACGAGCAAGAAUACAUGUUCAUGAAGCUAAACAUGGCAAGAGCAAGUUCAUAGCAUGCAUGGAUCACUAGAAACAAUCAUGGCAAAAUUGAUCAACAUGUAAACAAUCUGCCAGGAACAUUUUAUAGCAAAAGUAGAGCAAGAUUAAGACAUACUAGGGCACUCCAUAAUUGCAAACAGGGCCAUGAACGGGUAUAGCAUAACCAUAUUUCCAAAACAUCCUUACUGAAGCAACUGAAAACAAGCAUGGAUAUCACUGUAGCAUCAUGUUUACAUGGCAUAAAAAUAACAACAGAACAAGGACUUAGCAAAAUCCUAAGUCCCUGAAAUCAGCAAUAUCACGAAGGCUACUUUGCAUGCUUGUUCUAGUCACCACAUUGAUCACAAAAAUACAUGGCAAGCACCCCUGUAAAUAUGGCAUGACAUAGUUCAAAACACAUGUAGAGCUCAUGCCCAUAUGAAGCACACAUCAAAUGUGGCAAAAAUGACAAAUCACCCUAAACUGAUAAGUAGCAGCAGUAAACAUUUUAUAGCACUCUUGCAUCAAUGAUUUGGGCAUCAAGAUGGACUCAAACAAGCAUGGCACAAUGUAAUGAAAUGAAUAUAAUAUCUCAAUGAACAUUUUGAUAUAUCAUGCGCAUGAAACGGACCUACGGUCAUGAAGUUAUGAUGCAAUGAACAGGGGCAUACAAUAUGAGGGGAAAAGGACUUAGAGAAAAAUCAAUCUCCGGAAAAAGUCAACGCGGGAUCGGGCGGAGCGGGAUGGCGCGGUGCAGGACGGAUCCGGCUGUUUGGUUCGUCGCAUUGGUGGAUCUGAUCCACCCUGCUGUGGAUCCGGCUCCGGCAACCUCGGCUCCGGCGAGGCGCGGAGGAGGUGGCCGGUGGAGAGCGGCGCGGCGAGGAGGAGACGGCGGCGGUGGAGGAGCGCUGUGGUGCGGGCGGAGCUGUGGUGGAGGCGGCGGCCGGAGCAAGCGGAGGUUGGGCGGCGCGGCGCGCAGAUCCGGCGAGGUCGCGGGAGGCGGCGGCGGCCGACGACGGAGGAGCAGCGGCACACAGGCNNNNNNNNNNNNNNNNNNNNNNNNNNNNNNNNNNNNNNNNNNNNNNNNNNNNNNNNNNNNNNNNNNNNNNNNNNNNNNNNNNNNNNNNNNNNNNNNNNNNNNNNNNNNNNNNNNNNNNNNNNNNNNNNNNNNNNNNNNNNNNNNNNNNNNNNNNNNNNNNNNNNNNNNNNNNNNNNNNNNNNNNNNNNNNNNNNNNNNNNNNNNNNNNNNNNNNNNNNNNNNNNNNNNNNNNNNNNNNNNNNNNNNNNNNNNNNNNNNNNNNNNNNNNNNNNNNNNNNNNNNNNNNNNNNNNNNNNNNNNNNNNNNNNNGGCAUGGCGGGUCCGCGCGGUGGUGGGCGUUGACCGACGGCGGGGUCGGUGAUGUGGCGCCCGCGGAGUGGAGGAGGGAGGCGGCGGAGGUGAUGUGGCGCGACCCCAUUGGUCGGGGCGACGUGUCCGGCGUGGGUGGACAUGUCCGGUGGCGUGAGGAGGAAGAAGACUAGGGUUAGACCGCGAAUGUGGACGGGGUGCACUUAUUUAUAGGUUGGAGGAGGUAGGAGUGUCCAAAUGAGGUGUAGUUUUCGACCACGCGAUUGUGAUCCGACGACGGAGGACAUGGGAGUGGUUUGGAAGGGUUAUUGGGAUGCUUUGGAGGGGUGUUAGGCCGCAACACACACGAGGCCUUUACGGUUCCCCGGUUAACCGUUGGAGUAUCAAACGGACUCCAGAUGGGACGAAAUUUGACAGGCGGUCUAUCGAUGGUGUACCAAGGCCACUUGGAAAAUCUCGGUCCAUUCUGAGAACGUUUAACACCCGCUCGCGAAAAGAGGCAAAAGGGGACGCCUGUGCACGUAGGAGUGUCGGAUUGCAAAACGGACAAUAGGGAAAAUGCUUGGAUGCAUGAGACGAACACGAAUGCAAAAGUGAUGCACAUGAUGACAUGAUAUGAAAUGCAUGACAUGAACAAAAUGCAAAAUGAAGACAAAACCCAACCACAAAAGAAAUAUCGUAUCGCAUCUUCAGAAAAGGCAAGAGUAGGAGUACAAAUAUGGAAAGUUGUUUCCGGGGCGUUACAGAUUCGAUCACCGAGGGCCUUUACAUCAACCUUACUGCCCUUCCGAUGAAGCGUGAGUAGUUUACCACAGACCUACGGGUCCAUAGCUAGUAGCUAGAUGACUUCUUUUCUCUCUAUGAUCUUCAAUACAAUGUUCUCCUCGAUGUUCUUGGAGUUCUAUCCGAUGUAAUAUUCUUUUGCAGUGUGUUAGUCAAGAUCGGGUGAAUUGUGGAUUUAUGAUCAGUUUAUCUAUGAAUAUUAUUUGAGUCUUCUCUGAACUCUUUUAUGCAUGAUUAAGAUAUAUUUGUAUUUCUCUUUGAACUAUCGGUUUGGUUUGGCCAACUAGAUUGAUUUUUCUUGCAAUGGGAGAGGUGCUUUGUUUUGGGUUCAAUCUUGCGGUGUCCUCACCCAUUGACAGAAGGGGUAGCGAGGCACAUAUUGUAUUGUUGCCAUCAAGGAUAAAAAGAUGGGGUUUAUAUCAUAUUUCUUGAGUUGAUCCCUCUACAUCAUAUCAUCUUACUUAAAGCGUUACUCUGUUCUUAUGAUCUUAAUACUCUAGAUGCAUUCUGGAUAGCGGUCGAUGUGUGGAGUAAUAGUAGUAGAUGCAGAAUAGUUUUGGUCUACUUGUCACGGACGUGAUGCCUAUAUUCAUGAUCAUUGCCUUAGAUAUCGGCAUAACUAUGCACUUUUCUACCAAUUGCUCGACAGUAAUUUGUUUACCCACUGUAUGUUUUCUUUCAAGAGAGAAGCCUCUAGUGAAACCUAUGGCUCCCGGGUGUAUUUUCCAUCAUAUAUUUUCAGAUCUAUAAAGCAAAAAAUACAAAAAUACUUUGCUGUAAUUUAUUUAUAUUUACUUUAGUUUGCUCUUUUAUUUAUCUUUUAUACCUAUCUCUAUUAGAUCUCACUCUUGUUCAUGACCGUGAAGGGAUUGACAACCCCUUGUUCGUGUUGUGUGCAUGUGUUUGUUAGUUUGUGUAGGUGCAUAGAUUGGAGACUUGCUUGUGACUCCUACUGGAUUGAUACCUUUGUUCUUAACUGAGAGAAAUACGGUCGGAAAGACUUGCUUGCGACUCCUACUUUGUUGCAUCACCCUUUCCUCUUCAAGGAAAAAAUCAAUGCAAGCUCAAGAAGUAACAUGGUCGGAAAGGAGGAGGCAAAGGAAUUUGAGGCCAAGGCUACAUGUAUGGUAAUCAUGAGGGUCAACACGAACAUAGGUUCCAGUUUGUCGACGUUUCUGAUACAAUGAAGUUUGUGUGGGGUUUGGCCCAGACGCCAAAGUUUUGUGAGGUGGGACAAAACUUGUUCAUUUCUAGAUGUUUGUUUAAGCGACUAGAGGAAGGUCAUACACAUGGGACCUUGGAUAUUUUGGUAUUCGAUAUGACCAUUGAGGACUGGGAUGGAAUUAAAGGCCGAUCCUGAGAUGAUCAUGCUGGAUGGACAAUAUGUGUUGGGCAUAUUCAUAAGGUACCUAAUCUCUGUCGCCAUGAUUUGGUGGUUGAUUAGCUGGCGUGCAUGAUUGGGAAGGUAAUAGAGGUACAACUCCGUCCAACACUAUACUAUGGGGAUAUUAUGUGAGGGUUUGUCCUCGUGUUCUAACUACGAAGUUGUUGACUGAUUCACAUGUGUUGUCAAUUGAAGGAGUGGGUAGGCACAUGUUGCUUGUGAAGUAUGAGAAAAUCCCAUUCUAUUGACAAGUGUGCAGUUUGAUGGGCACAACCACGAGGAAUGCGGUGAUGAGGUGUGGAAGGAGGAAGACAAAAAGUGGCAAAGAUGGAUGGUAGCACAAAGUAGACCUGUGACCUAUGAGGUGCCAACAGAUGGCAGGGCUGCAUCACACAAAGGACGUGUGCGAGGCCGAGGCGGAACCGCAAGGGAAGGCAAGCUCCAUGGAAAAUAUCUUCAAAGGAUUCCUUUCCUGAAAAUAAUGACAGAGAUUGAAAGUGCAACUAAUCCCUCGGGUGGUUUUGGUAAUUCAUAAUGACAUAUAUCCCAUUGAACUAAUGUCCGUUCAAGUUAAAGAUUUCAGGAUGUUCAAUGAUUCACAUGGCAAGGACUAGUGAUUGUGGACCCCUCAAAAUGCUAAGGACAUGGAUUGGCAAAAGCUCAAGACUCUACAUUUUUGGUUAAGUGAUCCAAGAUCACAUUGAGUCCAUAGGAAAGCCAAUACUAUUAAAAGGGGAUGAGGUGUUGCUUAAUGAUCUUUUUGCUCAAGUGCUUAGUGAUAUUGCUCCAAAACCCUCAACCACUUUCUCCAUCCAAAUAUGUCCAAACCCUACAUUCCAACUCGGUUGCACUGAAAUUUCCUAUCCGGAGCCAUCGAGUUCAUCUGGACUUAGCCACUACCAAAUACUAAAAAAUCAGAUCCACUGAUAUGGAUCUCAGUCCCACUGAGAUGGCCUUGCCAACGCUCUGUUACUAGUUGCAAUUAUUUCGGUCCCACCGAGUUUUGCAAUUGGUACCACCGAGAUGGCUUGCCAACUUCCGUUGCCUUAUUGCUUCACUUCGGUCCUACCGAGUUGAUUCAUUCGGUGCCACCAAGACGAGGUUUGCCCUAGCCAUUGCACAUUGGUCCCUCCGAGUUGUUCCGGUUGGUCGCACCGAGAUUCCUAACGUUCAUAUUUUUACACAGAUCGGUGCCACCGAGAUUUCUGAUCGGUGCCACCGAGAUUCCUGAUCGGUGCCACCGAGUUGGGUCAAAAGUGUGUGACAGUUGGAUUUCGUGUGGAGGCUAUAUAUACCCCUCUACCACCUCUUACUUAGUAAGAGAGCCAUCAGAACGUGCAUACACUUCCACCAUUCAUUUUCUGAGAGAGAAGCACCUACUCAUGUGUUGAGAUCAAGAUAUUCCAUUCCUACCAUUUGAACCUUGAUUUCUAGCCUUCCUCAAGUUUCUUUCCACUCAAAUCCUUCUUCCACGAUGGCCAAAUAUGUGAGAGAGAGUUGAGUGUUGGGGAGACUAUCAUUUGAAGCACAAGAGCAAGGAGUUCAACAUCAACACACUGUCUAUUACCUUUUGGAGAGUGGCGUCUCCUAGAUUGGUUAGGUGUCGCUUGGGAGCCUCCGACAUGAUGUGGAGUUGAACCAAGAAGUUUGUAAGGGUAAGGAGAUCGCCUACUUCGUGAAGAUCUACUCGAGUGAGGCAAGUCCUUCGUGGACGAUGGCCAUGGUGGGAUAGACAAGGUUGCUUCUUCGUGGCCCCUUCGUGGGAGGAGCCCUCCUUGGACUCGCGCAAUCAUUACCCUUCAUGGGUUGAAGUCUCCAUCAACGUAGAUUUACGAUAGCACCACCUAUCGAAACCAUGCCAAAAAUUAUCGUGUCCACAUCGCGUCCACCUUCCCCAAACCCUCCCCUUUACUUACAUGUGCAAUGCCCUACUUUCCACUACUACACUCUUAGACUUGCAUGUGUAGGGUGUUUCUUGACUUGUCAUAAUUGCUAAAAUCUGCCUACAACUAAAAUUGGGAAAAGGUUAGGUGUUACCUCGUUAAGUAGUCUAAUCACCCCCUCUAGACACACUUUUGAUCCUACAAGUGCUAUCAGAGCUUUUGUCUCCAUAGGCCUUGAUUUCCAUUGCUUUGGUAACCAUAUCCUUGGUUUCACAACCUAGGAGAGUAUGGAGUCUAGUGAGGGUAACUAUCACCGUAGAGGUCCAUAUUUUGAUGGUAUAAAUUUUGCUAGUUGGAAGCAUAAGUAGAAAAUACAUAUUCUUGGUCACAACCCCGCUGUUUGGGUUGUUGUUUGCAUUGGCUUGCAAGGUGAAUUCUUUGAGGAUGGUAGAGAACCGGAUUGUGAAGCGACCGCGGAAGAAUUGAAGAUGUUUCAAUACAAUGCUCAAGCUUGUGAUAUUCUCUUCAAUGGAUUGUGCCCCGAGGAAUUCAAGAAAAUCAACCGCCUUGAGAAUGCAAAGGAAAUUUGGGAUACUUUGGUUGAUAUGCACGAAGGUACCAAGUCCGUCAAGGAAUCCAAGUUGUAUGUUCUUCAAUGUCAACUUGACAAGUUCAAGAUGAAGGAUGGUGAAGGAGUCGCUGAAAUGUACUCUAGGCUUGCUCUCAUCACAAAUGAGAUUGUUGGCUUAGGAAGUGAAGAAAUGACCGACAAGUUCAUCAUCAAGAAGAUCCUUAGAGCCUUGGAUGGAAAAUAUGAUAAAGUGUGCACAUUGAUCCAAAUGAUGCCCAAUUACAAAGAUCUCAAGCCUGCGGAAGUCAUUGGUAGAAUGCUUGCUCAUGAGAUGUCAGUCAAGGAUAAGGAAGAGCUCCACAACAAGUCAAGUGGUGCAUUCAAAGCUUCAAGUGAUACUCCUACAAUAUGAAGUGACAAGCUAGUCUCCAAUGAGGAAUUGAGUCUAAUGGUGAAAAACUUCAACAAAUUUUACAAGAGUAGAAGCAAAGAUAGAAGCUCCAAGUCAAGGUCCUACAAUGAGAAAAGAUCUUCUAGUAGUGAUCGUAAUUGCUACAAUUGUGGAAGAUCCAGAUACUACUCCAAUGAGUGUACGGCUCCCUACAAGAAAAGAGAAGACUCACCAAAAAGGAGAAGUAGAAUAGAUGAAUCACCUCAUACAAAGAGAAGUAGUACAGAUGAUCGUUAUGAACGAAGACCCUCUUGAAGAAGCAAGGAUUCGAAAAGGAAGUGCAAGUUAUCAAAGAGCUACACAAGACGAAGACAUCAAGAUCAUGUUGGUGAAUGGGUUCCGGCUCCGACUCUAACACUCACUCCGAGAGAAGCUAUCAUUCCGACUCCGACUAUACUCAAGAUGAAGGUGUUGCCGGUCUUGCACUACUAUCAUCCAACUCCCACAACAUAUUUGAUUCACCAAAUGAAGGAAUUGGAAGAUGCUUCAUGGCUAAAGGCCCCAAGGUAUUACAUCCCAAGUAUCUUGAUUUCAAUUGUGAUGAAGAUGAUUUUCUAGGUGAUGAUGAUUUCGUUGUUGAUAAAACUAGUGAUGUGAGCUAUAAUGAACUUGCUAGUAAUCAUAAUAGUCAAGAUGAAAUGAAUGAAAAUGCUUAAGGAGAUUGAGCGCUUAACUAAAUAACUAAACACUCUUAAGUUAGCCCAUGAAACAACUCGAGAGGAUCAUAGAGAGCUCCUAAGAACUCAUGAGAAGCUACGCUUCGAGAAACUAAAUUUAGAGCAAGAGCUUGAGUUUCUAAAAGAAAUCAAUGACAAUUUUCAAAAGAAGAGUUCUUCUUACAUUGCCAAACAUCUCCUAUUGUCUACUUACAUGCCACAAGUUAAACCUAGUAACAAGAGCAAGAAAGAUUCUUCUUCUAGAAACAAUAACCAUGUUAAAUCCAAUAUUGUUGCUUCUAGUAAUUCUCUUGAUUCCACCAACGAUUCUCUUAGACAAGUUACACUUGAGCAAGAAAAUGGCUUAUUGAAGGGAAUUAUAGAGAAAGGUGCUUACAAGAGUCUUGUCGGGAGUAAGCAACUCAAAGAAAUUGUACGCAGGCAAGGAAGACACCAGAAGAAUGAAGGUGUUGGUUUUGAACGAAAGUUCAAUGCCAAUGGAGUUGAAUGGGAAGAAGAUUAAUACCCCAAGACGAAGUUUGUUCCUCAACAAGAGAAGUAUGACCCCACUUCUUUUGAGGGAACACAAGAUCAAGAUGAUCUUCUGCCACAAGACUGCACGCUAAAAGGCAAGGACAAACUUCAAGAAGAGAUUGACUCAUUUGAAGAAGCACCUAAAGCCAUGGUCAAGUGGGUUCCCAAGACUUCAUCAAGCUCCACUUCAUCAAGUUCAACUACAACUCCAAGGAACAUCCCAAAAUUUUAAAUUUUGGAAUGUUAUAAUAAAUAGAUAGAUUUGAUUGACUGUUUGAUUGAUUGUUUGAAAGUGAGUGAAUUCGAAUUUUUUUGAAAGUUAAAUGAGAGGGAAUAAAAGGACUUUCCCAAACUUUCAUAUUUGCUCUCUGAUCUCCAUGAAUUCAAAUUCUUUUCAAAUACAAAACCCUUGAGCGAAGAUGAUAUGACUUCUUCCAUUAAAUGAAAGGGUAUUUGAAAAUAAUUGAAUUUCAUUUGGAAAUAUUUCAAUUCAUAAACUUCAUGCAGCUCAAUGCUUUUCAUGAGAGAAGAUAAAAUGACUUCUUCAAAUUAUAUGAAAUAUGAGUUGGGAGUUUCAAAGAAUUAAAUUCAAAGUUCUUUUGAAUUUAUUUUCAAUUUGGAGUUAUUUGAGUUUUAUUCAAAUUACUUUUCUCCAAAAAUAAAAUAUAUGGAAAUUAGGGUAGCAUGAUUCCCUACAUCAGAAAAUUGGAGAGAAAUAAAUUUGAAUUCAUUUUGGUAGUUUUAAAAUGAUUUUUGUUGGAUUUUAUUAGACCAGUAGCACUUUUUGAAUUAUCUGAAUUUGGGUGUAUUUUAUUUGACUCUAGAAAAAUGUCCAUGUUGUAGAAAAUCUUUUUCUGCAAAUUUUGAUAUAUUAUAUGCCUAUAUAAUUUUUUUUAUUUCUGUUGUUUUUAUUUGUUUUGUUUGUCUGGAAAAAAAGAAAAUCUUUAUUUAAAAAAAAUUUAGGCCGAAGCCGACUGGGCCGGCCCAGCACUGGGCCGGCCCAGCACUGGGUCAGGCCAAGCCCAGCCCAGCCGCGUCGUCCCCGACCUCACGCAGGAGGCCGGAUCCUGCACGCCACCACCGCCGCCUCGGCGUCCGAGCCGUCCCCGCCGCGGACUCCUCCUCGCCGCCUUUGCCCCCUUCCCCACGCAAACCCCUCGCCCCCCUCCAUAUAAGCUUGCGCCGCCGCCGCCCGCUCUCUCCUCGCGCCGCCGCCGCACUUCUCGUUCGCCGCGCCGCAGGUGCAUCUCACCGGAGCCGCCGCCUCUCCUGCUCCUGCCGCUGCUCCGAACGCCGCUGCCCCGCGCCGCACCACCGCCUCCUCCCGCCGCAGUUCGCCGCCACCUCCUCGCCGCUGCCGCGCUCCGCCGCCCGCAGCCACCACCGCCGCGUAGCCGCCUCGCCGGAGUCCGUCGCUAACCGCUGUCGCCGGAUUUCAAAGAAAAAAAAACCCGCCCGAACCGGUACAAACCGACCCGGUUUUUCUUUUAGUUCAGUUUUAUUCGUUUUGAUCGGUUUAUUUAUUAGGUUUAGUUAGUUAGCGGAUGUUCAUCCGUUAGUACUCAGUAGUGAACGGUUUUCGUCUUAUAGGCUUGUGCAGCGAACGUUCGCUAUUUAAUCUUUUUCUUUUUCUUUUUAUUUUCGGCCAGGGACCUGUUUGUGAAUAGUUUAUUUACAGAUUAGUCCCUGUACUUCAAAUGAUCAUUACUUUUUUACCCGUUAGUCCAAAUCCAACGAAACCAACGCUCACGUCUUCGUUAUGAUCUCCUCUAUCCAGUAACCCAACUCAAACAUGUUUUUGAAAAAUUUAAAAUUUGAAUUAGAUCAGAUUUGAAUUCAAACUUCGUUUGUUCAUAACUUGAGUUUCGUAGCUCCGUUUGAGUUGAUUCUUUUUGCAAAUCGAAGCUCUUGACCUAAACUUUCUGAUAAGGCCAAAUUCAUAUAAUUUUGGUACUGUUAGAAAUUGUUUUAUGUUGCAAGAGCUAUUUGCUUGGUUUUGAUGUUUUCCGAAUCGACUUCUUCGAUCUUUCUGAUCUUUUGAGUGAUUGCUUAUGUGUGGUUACUAUUGCUUGCUUAUGAUAGAUUGACCGGAGUGUGACGAGUAGAACUAUCAAGAGUUUUGAGUGCGAAUCAUCUUCAUCAACAUUGCAGGCAAGUUCACACUUUGAUCAUAUCCCUUUUCAUACCCAGUUUUUAUGCAUUAGUUACAACCCUCAACAUUGCAUGAGUGGGAUUAAUAACAUGUGGGUAUUGGGAAGUAGUUGAUGAGUUAGUACCUAUUACCUAUUUAUUAUCAAACCCUUGCGAGUUACUAUUGCGUUAUGCUUAUAGUGCCAUGGUAUGCUCAUAGACGUGGAUUGGGUUUUGAGAGUAUUCAUGACAGAUGUGAGAUUGUUAAUUAAUGGUUUACUUAAGGUGACAACUUAAACACACAUCUGGGUGGAUUGAGGCACCGGGUUAUUCCAGGAUUGCCUGUCUAAGCACCUGGGUAGACCAGGAUUGCCUGUUUUUUUGGACCGCCACCCAGGCUCAAAGGGGUCAUGAGACUAUUCAUACUAGAAACUUCCGUGUGCAGCCACAAGCUAUUAUGGGCUCUAGCAUAGUUGACUAAGUUGUGCGAACUCUUAAGUAGUAGACUAGCAGAUGUAGGGGAUGUAGGUGGUACGGUCUACCCGAUCGUAAGGUGCUAGCGCUUCUGAAAGACUAUGUCUCGGUCAUCCGUCUUCUCAAACACCAUGUAGUGCGAGAAACCAAACGGAGGAGAUCGAGUCUUGUGGGGAAAAGUGCGCAAACCUCUACAGAGUGUAUAAACUAAUCAUGGUUAGCCGUGUCCCCGGUUAUGGACAUCUUGAGUAUCUAGUACUUGGAUUAUCAUGUGAAUCUCAUCAUGUUACUUUAAUUAAUAUUGUUGGGUUUUAAUGAUGAUACUUAAUUGAGAUUGAGAAUGCUGUCAACCAUUCUCAAUGUUUAACAACCACCAUGAUAGUUAAAUAAAAUUUAUUCCUUUGUAGUAGGGAAAAAUUGGCUUUUCGCAAAAACCUUAUAACCGUAGAGCUUUUCCACCACCCAAAUAUGCAUGUAGUGAUAGCCAUUAUUCAUCAUUGCUCUACAGUGUGAAUUUGCCAGUACAUUCAAUGUACUGACCCUUUGUGGCUGCAACGUCUCAUGUUGCAGGAUAUCUUACGACGAGUAAGUGAUACGUUAGGGUUAUGAUUUCUACACUCAACUUUGCCGUAGGUGUUGAUGGGAAUCCACAACCUUGUUACUUCCGCUAUUUUGGAUUGAGGUAAUAGUAUUUUACGUUACUUAUACAUGUGAUUUACCUCUGUUAUAAAUCCUCGAGUACUAUGUGUGUCAGCAUACCGAUCCAGGGAUGACACUUAAGCACAGAGACCUGAUCCAUUCGGGUCGGGUCGCUACAGAUUCCAAUCAAGUUGAUGUGGGUCCCAAAGAACAAGAACUAGAGUGUUCUUGAGGGUGACUCCACCAACAUAUUUCACUCAUAUUCAUUUAGGAAAGGACUUGUGCAACCAACUUUCACAUCUUGCACUAGUUCAUGGAGUCACAAACCCUCUUGUUGGUGAUACAAGGGACAAGGUAACUCAAUGCAUUCAUGGACAUCAUCAUAUGUGCUAUUCACUCUAUGUCCAUGGAUAUCCUUGUAUGUUCCUUGUGGGACUAACCCAUGUAGGUAUUGAAAGUGCAAAACUCCAAAGGAUUGCUCCGAACUCUUGAUGGACUACAUCAACAUUGAGCAUCCACAUCUUCACUAUCUACAUGAAGUCAUCAUUGAAAAAACCCAAGGUUAGUUAAUCCCUCCUAGGGGGAUAUCACAUCUAGGGGGGAUCUUUGCUCUAAAAAUUUAGCUAAAUCAUCUAAUGGUGUGAACACAUUAAUGCUUUAUGUAAAAGUGAUAACCCCACUUGUGAUUAAAUGAUGAGUAUGACCUAUGAUCAAAUGUUGUCAUUUGACUCCUAAGUCAAUAUACUCAUAUAUAGAUGACCUAGUCAUAGCCAAUUGCUUGAUAGAUGCUAGAAUUUGUUGUGCACGUUUGACACAUAUUUCAUUUGCUAUCUUAUUGUGUGAGCAUGUUGAUUUGCAUAUUUUCUUCAUUCAAGGACAUCCAUUUGUUGUUUUGAUUGUCUUGGUUUUUCUGGCCAAGUGGAUGUACGAGAAUGCUAUGCACCUUCUCUAGCUAUCUAUGCAUUCUUGUCUCAAACUAUUUGUCGUGGNNNNNNNNNNNNNNNNNNNNNNNNNNNNNNNNNNNNNNNNNNNNNNNNNNNNNNNNNNNNNNNNNNNNNNNNNNNNNNNNNNNNNNNNNNNNNNNNNNNNNNNNNNNNNNNNNNNNNNNNNNNNNNNNNNNNNNNNNNNNNNNNNNNNNNNNNNNNNNNNNNNNNNNNNNNNNNNNNNNNNNNNNNNNNNNNNNNNNNNNNNNNNNNNNNNNNNNNNNNNNNNNNNNUAUGCCACAAGGUGGCUUAGUGCGUGGGCAAGACUGCUGCCGGAAUAUCCAGGGACGGGUAUGCGAGUAGCACGCGCUAGUUUACCCAGGUUCGGGGCUCUCCGGAGAGAUAACACCCCUACUCCUGCAUGUCUAAGUAUAUAUGUGGUAUAUCUGGUACAGAGUGCUCCUGGAGCUGUAUCUAAGGUCAGUGCCAUAGGCAUCUGGCCUCGUAUAUGCAUAUGAGCACAAGUGAGAGAGUGGCUAGCUAGUGGCUGAAUGGAGUGGUCGUGGUGGUGCUUGUGUGCUCAUGCGUGAGUGCCCAUGAGAGUGUGUGGAUGGAUGGAUGGCUAGCUAUAUAUAGUGGGAGCUAGCUUAGGAUGUAAGCCAUGUAGGCAUGGUAGCUAGCUAGCUAGUGGCAUGGUGGGGUGUCAUCCUUGUCCCCUGGGUCACUUCAUAAAUAGUGCCCAGGGACAAGGGACACUGUACAUGAUGGCUGGGGUGACACGUGAACAGUGCCGGGUACGGCCGUCACAUCGGGGUCGCAUCAGGCUGCAGUUGACUUCGGGCAGCCGGCUGGUUGGAGCAGUCGGCAGCCAACAGCCGGCCUGGUGGAGCAGUCGGCAGCCAGCAGGGGCGGCCGGACAGUCGGCAGCCAACAGCCGGCCUGGUGGAGCAGUCGGCAGCCAGCAGCCGGCAGGGGUGGCGGGCAGUCGGCAGCCAGCAGCCGGCCUGGUGGAGUAGUCAACAGCCACCAGGGGCAGCGGGCAGUCAGCAGCCAGCAGUCAGCAGCCAACAGUCGGCAGCAGCCGGCCUGGUGGAGCAGUCAGCAGCCAGCAGCCAGCAGCCAGCAGCCAUCAGUCGGCCGGGUAGUUUGGACCGAGGGGCUUUGCUAGCCUCGAUGUCUUGAUUUAUUGUCUCGCCGUCUUCGGGGUAUCCGUGUCCAAUUACUCCGACAGUAGCCCCCAAGCCUCCGGGCAACUUGGCAAAGUUGGGCGGAGGUUUUUUGGCGAGUGUUCAUGGAAAUGCUCAUGAAAAAGACGAAGUUAGUCCACGUAGAUAUAUCAAAUGUUUGCCUUUAGCAUUGCAAGUUUUAUGCGGAGGGUGCCGACUCGGUUUCGUCUGAGCCCCCUUAAUCUUUUUCGUGUUCCCUUCGCUUUUUGGCUUGUGCUCUUGCUUGCCGGACAACCGCUCUGUGGUCUGUGGCUGAGAGUGGGCCGCGAAGUGGAGUGUACAGUACUCAGAGUCUGGGAGCAGAUUCAACCGAGUAGAUACUUGUAAAGGAAACGGCUGGAUCGCCAGAUCCGUUUUUCUUCCCAGAUGUUUUUCGCGUGGGUGGCCUCCAGCGUUCACUCUUGCUAGCCGGACAGCGCUCUGCGGUCUGUGACUAAGAGCGGGCCUUUGGUACCGCGCACGCUGCUAAGCCGUCUGCGGGAACUAACGUCUCAGGCCAAGCGGCCAGCCACCGGGCCAACUCUCGUUGGCGCCGGGGUGAACAGUGAUGCGACUGAAAUGAAAUGCGGAGAUAGCCCCCCGAGCAUCGCUCGGGGUUAUCUGUGCUUGCGUGGUGCAAAAAAUAUGUGGGUGAGGAGCUCACAUUGGUUUCCGUGUAGCCAAGGCGGAGUUUGCCAAAGACAGUCGGUGCGGCUCGGCGCUCGCGGAGUGCACCGGCACACCUGCUGGGUGUAGCCUUUGAGCCCCCGGGUGCUCGAAGGAGGGUCCCGGUCGGUUAGGCUCGACCGGCCAGGCGGCGAGGCGUCUUGCAGCGCCCUUUUUCUUCUUUUUCUCUUUUGCCGGCUGCUGGCAGCUGGACAAAACUCUUCUCUUGUUUGCGAUCUUCCGUGGGGGCGCGCCAGCGCACCCACUGGGUGUAGCCCCUGAGAUUCGGGCCGACUGCUGAGUAGUCGGGCCGGAUCUCCCGGCAACUACUCUGUCUACUUCUUCAAGGGGGCGCGUCAGCGCACCCACCGGGUGUAGCCCCCGAGAUCUGGGCCGACUGCUGAGCAGUCAGGCUGGAUCUCCCGACAACUAAUUUGUCUUCUUCUUCGUGGGGGCGUGUCGGCGCACCCGCUGGGUGUAGCCCCGAGAUCUGGGCCGACUGCUGAGCAGUCGGGCCAGAUCUCCCGGCAACUACUUUGUCUUAUUCUUCGCGGGGGCCCGUCAGCGCACUCACUGGGUGUAGCCCCUGAGAUCUGGGCCGACUGCUGAGCAGUCAGGCCGGAUCUCCCGACAACUACUUUUCUUCUUCUGUGUGGGGGCGCGUCAGCGCACCCGCUGGGUGUAGCCCCCGAGAUCUGGGCCGACUGCUGAGCAGUUGGGCCGGAUCUCCCGGCAACUACUUUGUCUUCUUCUUCGCGGGGGCGCGUCAGCACACCCGCUGGGUGUAGCCCCCGAGAUGUGGGCCGACUGUUGAGCAGUCAGGCCGGAUCUCCCGACAACUACUUUGUCUUCUUCUUCGCGGGGGCGCGUCAGCGCACCCGCUGGGUGUAGCCCCCGAGAUCUGGGCCGACUGCUGAGCAGUCGGGCCGGAUCUCCCGGCAACUACUUUGUCUUCUUCUUCUAGGGGUUGCGUCAGCACACCCGCUGGGUGUAACCCCCGAGAUCUGGAUGCUCGAAGGGGUCCCGACCGGUCAGGCUCGACCGGGCAGGUGUCGAGGCGUCUGGCAGCGCCAUUUUCUUUUAUCUUCUGCCGGUUGUCGGCAGCCGGACACGGAGUCUUUCUUUUUUUGGCCAGACCGACUCUUUUCUCUCGAGCCGGACACGAUAUUUCCUUUUUUAGCGGGCUGUAGCAGCCGGACUCUCUCUCGCCCCUUUUUUUAAACACGAGCAGCCAACUGUUGACUUGGUCAGCCAGUCCUCUUUUCCUUUCUUGUCAAUCGGUGCUUGACUUUUCUUCCAGCCGGCGAUUGGAUAGGCGGCCCUUUUCUUUCUUGUCCUGGCCGUCCUCUCACUCUCUCUCUUCUCUUCUCCAGCCGGCCCGAGGGCGCAAGGGGCGGGAGCCUACCGAGGCACAGAGGGAGGUAGCCGGCAGGGGCGCGCGGAGCCAUCACGAGGUGGCUGCCGACCGAAGCGGCCAGGGAGUGCGGGGCGAGGCCGCGGGGCCCCAGAGGCGGCCAGGCGCACCUGGACGGAGGCGCCAGGGCAGAGCUGAUGCGGGAAGUCGGCGUCGCGGGAUGCCUGCGCGGGAGGCCGGCGCCAGUGAGGCAGACGGACGGGCGGGGUGAGUAGGCGGCCGGGACGCGGAGGGCCUGCAGGCGCCACCAGUCGGUGGAGGACCCGGAUGGUCGAGGCGAUGAGGUGGCGGAGCUGGCGCACGGGCCCUGCGAAGCACCAUCCGGACGAUGGGGAGGCCGAGACGAGGCGAAGGCGGGGCCCCGGCCGCCGGGACACGAGGCGGAGCAGCCGACCGAGCGCAGAGAGGCUGGGCGUCGUGGGCAGCUGGACGAAGCCGACGGAGAUGAGGUAGAGCCGGCAAGCGCUAGUGCAUGGCCGGGCGCAGAGCCAGCCGAUGAUGAGGAGGGUCGAGCGUGGUCGAAGCAGAGGCCUGGCGGAGCCGGACCCGGCAGCGGCGGCGAGCCGGACGCGGCAUGGUGCGAAGGCGGAGCCGGGCGGGCGGCAGAAGCCGGCGGGCGUGGAGCAGGCGGGGGCGGCUAGGCGGCUGCGGGCAGGGCCGCACGCGCGUGCUUACUGGAGGUGCGGUGACGAACUAGGCGACGCGCGCGUGGGGUGAACGCGAGCGGGGGCGCGGGACAGCAGAGGCGAUGCAGCAAGGCCAUCCGGGCGGCGCGUGAGCGUACGUGGGCAAAGGACGCGACCCGCAGCGGCGGGACGGCGUGAUGCAGGCGGAACAGGCGGGCGGCUGGCCAUGGAGCGACCUGGCCAAUGCGGGUGUGGCGCCGCGCGACGGCGUGCACGGAGGCCGGGCCGAGCCAGCGUAGAGUGGGGCGUAUCUAGUUAGUGUACAGGUGAGAUCUGGCUAUGGUAUGUCUAAUGGUUUGACCAUUGUUGACUAGCAUCUAGCUAGUUUGCAUAGAUGGUAUAUGGAGUAGUGGAUCGCCCGCUCCGGCCGGAGCAAAGCGCAGCGCGGAGGGGAACGGACGCAAGCGGCGCGCGGAUGAAUGCGGCCGACCGAAGCGAGGCCCCGCGCGUGGCGCGCGCGCGGACGGUCGGCCGGCGUUGCAGUGGUGGUGACGAAGGCGGUGAGGCCGACGACAAGGACGCGCCGUCCCGCGCGGCCACUCCGGGGGCGGGUCUAAGUCGAGCCCCCGAGUGCUACCGGAGAGACAGUGUGACGCCACGACGGUGAUGGCGAAGAUGGUCCCGCCCGGACUACGAAACUAGCAGCAGCGCAGUGGCAUAGUACCGCCCCAUUGCGGGCGCCAAAUGUCNNNNNNNNNNNNNNNNNNNNNNNNNNNNNNNNNNNNNNNNNNNNNNNNNNNNNNNNNNNNNNNNNNNNNNNNNNNNNNNNNNNNNNNNNNNNNNNNNNNNNNNNNNNNNNNNNNNNNNNNNNNNNNNNNNNNNNNNNNNNNNNNNNNNNNNNNNNNNNNNNNNNNNNNNNNNNNNNNNNNNNNNNNNNNNNNNNNNNNNNNNNNNNNNNNNNNNNNNNNNNNNNNNNNNNNNCACAAGGUGGCUUAGUGCGUGGGCAAGACUGUUGCCGAAUAUCCAGGGAUGGGUAUGCGAGUAGCACGCGCUAGUUUACCCACGUUCGGGGCUCUUCGAAGAGAUAACACCCCUACUCCUGCAUGUCUGAGUAUAUAUGUGGUAUAUCUGGUACAGAGUGCUCCUAGAGCUAUAUCUGAGGUCAGUGCCGUAGGCAUCUGGCCUCGUAUAUGCAUAUGAGCACAAGUGAGAGAGUGGCUAGCUAGUUGCCGAAUGGAGUGGUCAUGGUGGUGCUUGUGUGCUCAUGCGUGAGUGCCCAUGAGAGUGUGUGGAUGGAUGGAUGGCUAGCUAUAUAUAGUGGGGGCUAGCUUAGGAUGUAAGCCACAUAGGCAUGGUAGCUAGCUAGCUAGUGGCAUGAUGGGGUGUCAUCCUUAUCCCCUGGGUCACUUCAUAAAUAGUGCCCAGGGACAAGGGACACUGUACAUGAUGGCUGGGGUGACACGUGAACAGUGCCGGGUAUGGUUGUCACAUCAGGGUCGCGUUAGGUUGUAGUUGACUUCGGACAGCCGGUUGGUUGGAGCAGUCGGCAGCCAGCAGUCGGCUUGAUGGAGCAGUCGGCAGCCAGCAGCCGGUAGGGGCGACCGGGCAGUCGGCAGCCUGUAGCUGGCCUGGUGGAGCAGUCGGCAGCCAGUAGUCGGUCUGAUGGAGCAAUCGGCAGCCAGCAGCCGGCAGGGGCAGCCGGGCAGUCGGCAGCCAGCAGCCGGCCUGGUGGAGCAGUCGGCAGCCAGCAACCGGCAGGGGCUGCGGGCAGUCGGCAACCAUCAGCCAGUAGUCGGCAGCCAGCAGCCGGCCUGGUGGAGCAGUCGGCAGCCAGCAGCCGGCAGGGACAACGAGCAGUCAGUAGUCAACAGCCAGCAGUCGACAUCCAGCAGCCGGCCUGGUGGAGCAGUCAGCAGCCAACAUGGUAGUUUGGACUGAGGGGCUUUGCUAGCCCCGAUGUCUUGAUUUAUUGUCUCGCUGUCUUCGGGGUAUCCGUGUCCAAUUACCACUAAAAAAAGACACAUCCGUGACAUUUUGGGCCGAACGAAUUUUUUUCCUGUCAUACAUAUGACACUUCUAUGACGAUAAUUGUGACAAAACCCGGUAUCAUUAUAGAUGUUGUGGGCUCCUACUUCUAUGACCAAAAAUCAUGACAGAAAAUGGGCUUUUCGUCCUGGGCGGGCCGGAGACGCAGCUGCAUGACAUUCUUUGGGCCGUCCAUGACGGAAAAAACCGUGGUAGAAGCGAGGGCGAGGAAAAUUUCGGGGAGUUACGGUUAUGGUGGGAUGUCGGGGCCGAGCGAUGCGCGUUUCUCUCGUACACGUACGUGCGUGUGUGCGAGGCGUUGGCUCUAACUGAACCCGAGCGAGGCAUUGGGCUCUAACUAAACCCGAGCGAUUGCAUUGCAGGCUACGCGUUACCGAACCCGAGCGAUCACUGAACCCGAUCGAGCGAUUCCUUCGCUACCGCUGCUAACUGAAGCCGAUCGNNNNNNNNNNNNNNNNNNNNNNNNNNNNNNNNNNNNNNNNNNNNNNNNNNNNNNNNNNNNNNNNNNNNNNNNNNNNNNNNNNNNNNNNNNNNNNNNNNNNNNNNNNNNNNNNNNNNNNNNNNNNNNNNNNNNNNNNNNNNNNNNNNNNNNNNNNNNNNNNNNNNNNNNNNNNNNNNNNNNNNNNNNNNNNNNNNNNNNNNNNNNNNNNNNNNNNNNNNNNNNNNNNNNNNNNNNNNNNNNNNNNNNNNNNNNNNNNNNNNNNNNNNNNNNNNNNNNNNNNNNNNNNNNNNNNNNNNNNNNNNNNNNNNNNNNNNNNNNNNNNNNNNNNNNNNNNNNNNNNNNNNNNNNNNNNNNNNNNNNNNNNNNNNNNNNNNNNNNNNNNNNNNNNNNNNNNNNNNNNNNGAACAGGACCCCGUGAUGUGGUGGAGGGCUGGAUGAACAGUAGAUGGUGGAGGGAUGCCUGUGGAGGGGUGAUUGAACAGGACCCCAUGGUGUGGAGGGCUGGAUGAACAGUAGACGGUGGAGGGGUGGUUGACCAGUAGCCGGUGGAGUAGCGCGCGGUGGAGGCUAGUUGAGCAGGAGCCCAUGGAGGCUGGAGGAGGUCGACGGUAGCCCGUGGAGGCUGGAGGAGGUCGACGGUAGCCCGUGGAGGCUGGAUGAGGUCGACGGUGGAGAUGAGCAGUAUCCCGUGGAGUCUCGUUUUGCGCUACGCCACACCCCUCCCGAUGAACAGGACCCCCGUUUCGACCGUAGGAGGUCCGUUUUGUCUGUUUUGCGGUACGCCACACCCCUCCCGAUCAUCAGGACCCUCAUUUCGACCGUAGGAGGUCCGUUUCCUCCGUUUUGCGGUACGCCACACCCCUCCCGAUCAACAGGACCCCCGUUUCGACCGUAGGAGGUCUGUUUCCUCCGUUCUGCGGUACACCAGGCCUCAUUUCCAUCGCCGGUUUCGUCCAAGCCCUCCCGAUGAACACAACCACUCAUUUUGUUCCGACCCAGCCGGUUGGCUCCGACGCGUUCCGUUGCCUCCCGAUGAACACGACGCAUUCCGUUGUCUCCCCAUGAACACGACGCAUUCCGUUGCCUCCCCAUGAACAUGACAAUGACGAUGUUUCUCCGUUCCGACCAAGCCAUGUACGUGAGCCCUGGCCGUACAUAUGCGCGAGUAGGCAUUCGAGACCCUGCCCGUAUGUACACAUAUGUGGCCAUAUUUUUACUUUCUUGCACCAUGGCCAUUGUACGUACAUGUACAUGCUACGUGCGUGCCUCUACUAUGACACGUGCACAACUCUACUACGACACGUGCGCACCUCUACAUCGACCAGUAUGUACGUACACGUUCGCGACCAGAAUGACAAUGCUACGUACGCUUCGACCAGGUGGGUCCCGACUGUCAGGCACUUCCUUGCUUGCAAAGAUGUAGCUGGNNNNNNNNNNNNNNNNNNNNNNNNNNNNNNNNNNNNNNNNNNNNNNNNNNNNNNNNNNNNNNNNNNNNNNNNNNNNNNNNNNNNNNNNNNNNNNNNNNNNNNNNNNNNNNNNNNNNNNNNNNNNNNNNNNNNNNNNNNNNNNNNNNNNNNNNNNNNNNNNNNNNNNNNNNNNNNNNNNNNNNNNNNNNNNNNNNNNNNNNNNNNNNNNNNNNNNNNNNNNNNNNNNNNNNNNNNNNNNNNNNNNNNNNNNNNNNNNNNNNNNNCCCAGCAGUCAGGGUGGUGAAUCGUUUUUUUGCCCGGACGCACUUCCUUGCGUGCGAAGGUGUAGCUGGUGGGUUCCAGCAGUCGGGGGGCGAAUUGUUUUUUCCGGGUGCACUUCCUUGCGUGCGAAGAUGUAGCUGGUGGGUCCCAGCAGUCAGGGGGCGAAUCGUUUUUUUCCCGGACGCACUUCCUUGCGUGCGAAGAUGUAGCUCGUGGGUCCCAGCAGUCAGGGGGCGAAUCAUUUUUUUGCGAAAUACGGUGGCCCAUCCGGUGGGUCCCUGCUGUCAGGUGGAGGAAUAAUUAUUUUGCGCGUAAUAAGGAGGCACUUCCUUGCGGCUGCCGUGGACCCAGCUAUCAGCCUCUCCACGUACAGUCCACGUCCGAUGGAAGUCGUUCCUUGACCACGUUGACCACGCCGCGCCGAGAGCACCAGGGCGAUGGACGACGGCGAGGCCUAGGAAGGGGACGAUGCGAAGCCGGGGAAGACGCGAUAGUGGAUGCACACGCGGAGAGGAGUACGAGGGUUCACUAGUCCGGCUGCGCUGCCAUCACCGCAGAAUAACAAGGGGUGUGGGUGAGUGGAGGGAUGGCCUGGCCAGCGGUGGAAGUAGUAGGGGGCGGUGAGGCCUCCGCGGCAGCACAGCCAGCCACGGGAGGCAGGAGCAGGCGGUACGACCGGCGCUGCUUUGGGCGGCAGCAAGAAGACCAAAGGUUGAAGAAGCACGACGGCCGUUGGAUGGACAUCUUACGGUCACUGAAGCUAGAAUCGUUUAUAUUGACUAAGUUGACAAAGCCCUUGGUACGCCAACUUAGUAGGCCCACAGGUCAGCUUCCGAAACGGUGCGCCCCAGAUGUCAGGGGAAGGAAUCAUUUUUUCGGCGGGUGAAGCUAGAAUAUCCGAGAUUGAAGAAGAAGCACGGCAUCCGUUGGAUGGACAUCCAACAGCCACAGCUGCUAGAACCGUGUGUUGACUAUAAGUUAACAAAUCCUUGCAUAUGCAUAAACUCUGUUUUUUAGGGGAUGCGUCAACUUAGUAAGGCCAGAAGUGUGUGGCAGAGAACUUAUAGCCCAUUUGAGAUUUGUAACAAUCUCGAGUUUUUGAUAGAGCUAUUGCCAGACACCGGACCAAUAUCGAAGAGACCAUACUGGAUGCCCGCAAAUGAUCUGGAGGAGAUUAAGAAGCAGAUUAAGGGGUUGUUGGAGAAAGGUUACAUUCGACGAAGUUCAUCACCAUGGGGAGCCCCAGUGCUUGUGGUUGAGAAGAAGGAUAAAUCUCUGAGAAUGGUUGUUGAUUAUCGGGCAUUGAAUGAAGUGACAAUCAAGAACAAGUACCCACUGUCGAUGAUCAAUGAUUUGUUUGACCGUCUGCAAGGAGCAAAGGUGUUUUCGAAGAUCGAUCUGCGAUCAGGAUAUCACCAGCUGAAGAUUAGGAAAAAGGAUAUACCUAAGAUAGCUUUCACCACAAGGUAUGGGCUAUACGAGUAUACGGUUAUGUCAUUCGGACUGACUAAUGCCCCUGCCUAUUUCCUGACUAUGAUGAAUAAGGUGUUCAUGGAAUUCUUGGAUAAGUUUGUCGUGGUGUUCAUUGAUGAUAUCUUGGUAUACUCGAAGAAUGAAGAGGAACACAAGGAGCAUUUGCGUUUACUUCUCGAGAAGCUCAGGGAACAUCAGUUAUAUGCCAAGUUCAGCAAAUAUGAGUUUUGGUUGAAGGAAGUUGGAUUUCUUGGACAUGUUAUAUCAGGAGAAGGUACUGGAUCCUACCAAGGUUCAGUCAGUGACUGAGUGGUUGGCACCCACCUCAGUUGGAGAGAUCCGCAGUUUUCUUGGACUCGCGGGAUACUACCGGAGAUUUAUUGAGAAUUUCUCCAAGAUUGCGAAGCCUAUGACAGCAUUGUUGAAGAAGGACACCAAGUUCCAUUGGACUGAAGAAUGUGAAUCAAGUUUCCAGGAGUUGAAGAAACAUUUGACUACAGCCCAGUGCUGAUUCUGCCAGAUAUACGCAAGGAUUUACAAGUGUAUUGUGAUGCCUCUCGCUUAGGACUUGGAGGAGUACUUAUGCAGGACAGAAUGGUUGUUUCUUAUGCCUCAAGACAGCUUCCACCGCAUGAGUUGAAUUAUGCUACGCAUGAUUUGGAAUUAGCAGCCGUAGUGCAUGCGCUCAAGACCUGGAGCCAUUUUCUUAUUGGAAACCAUUGCGAUGUGUACACGGAUCACAAGAGUUUGAAGUACAUUUUUACCCAGAAGGAGCUGAACCUCAGGCAAAGGAGAUGGUUGGAGCUCAUAAAGGAUUAUGAUAUGAAGUUGCAUUAUCAUCCAGCAAAGGCCAAUGUCAUAGCAGACGCUUUGAGCCAGAAGAGUUAUAUCAAUACCCUCGUAAACGGAGGAUUGCCAAAGGAGCUAGCAUAAGAUCUCAGGGAGCUACGUUUGGAGAUAGCCCCACGAGGUUUUGUUGCAGCAUUGGAGCUCAACAAAAAAAGACACAUCUGUGACAUUUUGGGCCGAACGAAUUUUUUUUUCUGUCAUACAUAUGACACUUCUAUGACGAUAAUUGUGAAAAAACCCGGUAUCAUCAUAGAUGUGGUGGGCUCCUACUUCUAUGACAAAAAAUCAUGACAGAAAAUGGGCUUUUCACCUUGGGCGGGCCGGAGACGCGGCUGCAUGACAUUCUUUGGGCCGUCCAUGAUGGAAAAAACCGUGGUAGAAGCGAGGGCGACGAAAAUUUCGGGGAGUUCCCGGUUACGGUGGGAGGUCGGGCGCCGAGUGAUGCACGCUUCUCUCGUACACGUACGCGCGUGUGUGUGAGGCAUUGGCUCUAACUGAACCCGAGCGAGCUGUUGGGCUCUAACUGAAUCCGAGCGAUUGCAGUGCAGGCUACGUGUUACUGAACCCGAGCGAUCGAUCGAUGGCUGUUAACUGAACCCGGUCGAGCGAUUCCUUCGCUACUGCUGCUAACUGAAGCCGAUCGAUGCUGCCUCUGGAUGAACAGUGAGCGUUGCGGGGGGGAUUGGAUGAACAGUUCCCGGUGGGGUGGAUGAACAGGACCCCGUGGUGUUGCCUCUGGAUGAACGGGACCCCGAUCGAUCGAGCCGGUUGGGGCUGGAUGAACAGGACCCCGUGGAGUGCUGGAUGAACAGGACCACCCCGUGGAGGGCUGGAGUAACAGUAGAAGGUGGAGGGCAGGAUGAACAGUAGCCCGUGGAGGGGUGGUUGAACACGAGCCCGUGGAGAGGGCUGGUUGAAUAGUAGCCGGUGGAGUAGCGCACGGUGGAGGCUGGAUGAACAGGAGCCCGUGGAUGAACAGUCACAGGUGGAGGCUGGAGGAGGUCGACGGUGGAUGAACAGUAGCUCGUGGAGGCUGGAGGGGGUCGACGGUGGAGAUGAACAGUAUCCCAUGGAGUCCUGUUUUGCGGUACACCACACCCCUCCCGAUGAACAGGACACCCAUUUCGACCGUAGCACUCCAACACAAGUCCGUUUCGUCCGUUUUGCGGUACGCCACACCCCUCCCGAUCAACAGGACCCCCGUUUCGACCGUAGGAGGUUCGUUUCCUCCGUUUUGCGGUACGCCAGACCCCUUCCGAUGAACAGGAUCCCGUUUCGAACGUGGCCGAUCGAACACAAGGCCGUUUCCUCUGUUCUGCGGUACGCCAGGCCUCUUUCCAUCGCCUGUUCCGUCCAAGCCCUCCCGAUGAACACGACGCAUUCCGUUGCCUCCGCAUGAACACGACGCAUUCUGUUGUCUCCCCAUGAACACGACGCAUUCCGUUGCCUCCCCAUGAACACGACGGCGACGCUGUUUCUCCGUUCCAACCCAGCCAUGUACACGAGCCCUGGCCGUACGUAUGCGUGAGUAGGCGUUCGAGACCCCGCCCGUAUGUACACAUACGUGGCCUUAUUUUCUUUCCUGCACCCUGGCCGCUGUAUGUACGUGUACAUGCUACGUGCGCGCCUCUACUACGACACGUGCGUGCCUCUACUACAACACGUGCGCACCUCUACAUCGACCAGUAUGUACGUACACGUUCGCGACCAAAAUAACAACGCUACGUACGCUUCGACCAGGUGGGUCCCGACUGUUAGGCACUUCCUUGCCUACGAAGAUGUAGUUGGUGGGUCCCAGCAGUCCGGGGGCGAAUCGUUUUUCUGGUCGGACGCACUUCCUUGCGUGCGAAGAUGUAAUUGGUGGGUCCCAGUAGUCAGGGGGAAACAUUUUUUUGCAAAAUACGGUGGCCCGUCCGGUGGGUCCCGCUGUCAGGUGGAGGAAUAAUUAUUUUGCACGUAAUAAGGAGGCACUUCCUUGCUGCGGCCGUGGACCCAGCUGUCAGCCUCUCCAUGUACAGUCCACGUCCGAUGGAAGCCGUUCCUUGACCAUGUUGACCACGCCGCGCCGAGAGCACCAGGGCAGUGGACGACGGCCAGGCCUAGGAAGGGGACGACACGGAGCCGGGGAAGACGCGACAGUGGAUGCCCACGCGUAGAGGAGUACGAGGGUUCACUGGUUCACUGCGGUGUGAGGCUGCCGUCGCCGCAGAAUAACAAGGGGUGUGGGUGAGUAGAGGGAUGGCCUGGCCAGCGGUGGGAGUAGUAAGGGGCGGUGAGGCCUCCGCCGCAUCGCAACCGGCCAUGGGAGGCAGGAGCACGAGGCACGACCGGUGCUGGUUUGGGCGGCUGGAGCAAGAAGACCAGAGGUUGAAGAAGUAGUACGGCCGUUGGAUGGACAUCAUACGGUCGCUGGAGCUAGAAUCGUUCAUAUUGACUAAGUUGACAAAGCCCUUCGUCCCCGUCAACUUAGUAGGCCCACAAGUGAGCCUACCACCAAGGUGGGUCCCAGCUAGCCGGGGGAGUAUUCAUUUUUUUGUGCGUAAUAAGGAGGCACUUCCGGUGGGUCCGAGCUGACAGCAGGGGGAACAUUUUUUUCGCGAAAUACGAUGGCCCGCCGUGUGGGUCCCAGCAGUUAGGGGCAAACGGUUUUUUCGCGAUAUACUGGUGGGCGUCCGGUGGGUCCCUGCUGUGAGGUGGAGGAAUAAUUAUUUUCCGAGUAAUAUGGAGGCACUUCCUUGCGGCUGCCGUGGACCCAGCUGUCCGCCUCUCCACGUACAGUAUUCUUCCGAUGGAAUUCGGUCGUUGACCACAUUGACCAUGCCGCGCCGAUAGCACCACGGUGGUGGACGACGACGAGGCCUAGGAAGGGGACGACGCGGAGCCGGGGAAGACGCGAUAGUGGAUGCCCACGCGGAGAGGAGUACGAGGGUUCACUGGUUCGGUUGCGCUGCCGUCGCCGCAGAAUAACAGGGGGUGUGGGUGAAUGGAGUGGAGGGAUGGCCUGGCCAGCAGUGGGAGUAGUAUGGGGGCGGUGAGGCCUCCACGGCAGCACAGCCGGCCACGGGAGGCAGGAGCAGGCGGCACCACCGGCGCUGCUUUGGGCGGCUGGAGCAAGAAGACCAGAGGUUGAAGAAGCACUACGACCGUUGGAUGGACAUCGUACGGUCAGUCGAGCUAGAAUCGUGCAUAUUGACUAAGUUGACAAAGCCCUUCGUCCCCGUCAACUUAGUAGGCCCACUAUAAUGGGUCCCAGCUAGCAGGGGGAGUAUUCAUUUUUUUGUGCAUAAUAAGGAGGCACUUCCUUGCGUGCGAAGAUAUAGCUGGUGGGUCCGAGCUGUCAGCGGCGGUGACGUUUUUUUCAGGAAAUACAGAGGCCGUUUCGGUGGGUCCCAGAUGUCAGGUGGAGGAAAUAAUUAUUUUGCGCGUAAUAAGGAGGCAUUUCCUUGCGUGCGGCCGUGGACCCAGCUGUCAGCCUCUCCAUGUAGAGUCCACUUCAGAUGCAUGUCGGUCGUUGACCACGCUGACCAUGCUGACCACACCACGCCGAGAGCACCAGGGCGGCAGACGACGGCGAGGCCUAGGAAGGGAACGACACAGAGGCAGGGAAGACUCGGCCGUUGUUUUUGUUUCCCACGCGGAGGGGAGUACGACUGUACGAGGGUUUACUGGUUCGUCUGUCAUCGCCGAAGAAUAACAGCAGGUGUGGGUGAGUACAGGGAUGGCUAGGCCAGCGAUGGGAGUACGGUGGGGCGGUGAGGCCUGCGCGACAGCACGACCGGCCGCGGGGAGGAGGGAGCAGACAGUCCUGCCGGCACUUGUUUGAGCGGCUCGAGGAGGAAGAGCAGAGAUUGAAGAAGCACGACGGCCGUUGGAUGGACAUCCAACAAUAUACAGGCCAUCUGUGGAAAGCCUCAAAUCUGUGGAAAAUAGCAUACAGCCCAUCUGCCAUUAUUUCAAAUAACUUACAUCCCAUUUGCUAAUCCUUACUGGUUUUUUUGGAGCCCAUAUUCUUUAUGUUAGCAUUACAGCCCAUAUUGUGGCCACGGUUAAAAAAUUAUACGAAAUUUUGCAUAUGUCAGUGCGGUGUGAACUGUUUUUAAUCCUGAAAUUUCGAGUCACGUUCAGACUGAUUUUAAAAAUAAAUGUAUAUCAAUAUAAAAUCCAAUAAAUUGUCCACGCAUAAAAAUGAAUGCAAUAUAAAAUCUCGAAAUGAAAAAAAGAUAUUUGAAAAUAAUUGCCAGUUUGAUGUGUUUUAAAAAUGUACAGCCCAUUUCUCAUUAGUGAUAGGCCAUUUUCUCGGCCAGCCGAAUGAAGCUCUCCUCGUCUUGAAAGAUUUGCAGCCCAGCAGACCUGAUAAAGCGACUUACUUGACAAAUCACAAAAGAACUGGCUAGCCAUUUUCAGAAAGAAAAAAACUACUAGGCUGGUGUGUGGUAAACAUAAAAGAAAAGGUUGUCUAGACAUGCGAGAGUGUCCCGCACAGCCCAGUUGACACCCUGCUUCCGUCUCAAAAACAAAUUAGAUAAAUGCCACUCCAAUUAUGGCGAUUCAUAAAAAUGCCACUGCAAUUUCCAACCUUUGAAAAAUGCCACUUCAAUCUUUGCAAACUUUGAAAAACGCCACUGCAGUUUGCAAACUUUGAAAAACGCCACUCCAGACUUUGAAAAAUAGCACUAGAAAUGGCAUGAAAUGGCAUUUUUCAAAGUUUGGAAAUUGCAGUGGCAUUUCUCGGAUACACCAGAUUUGGAGUGGCAUUUAUAAAAUUAACCCAAAACAAAAAUAACUGGCCGAGCUGCUGGGUCCCUGGUGUCAGCCGCUCGUUGUGCAAUUCUCUCAUUAUUGACUACAUUGACAAUGGCAUGGGACCCAGAUGUCAGAAAUCCACUAGGAGGAGCCAUUUUUUAUUGGCUUGAAAUAAGGAGGCACUUGCUUGCGUACUGCCAUGACCUUGGCGGGUCCCUGCUGUCAUCCUCUCCAUGUACAGUACCAGUUAGUCGUGCUUCAAAACUUAUCGGCACGCCAUUAAAAAAAUAAAGGUCGAUAACUAACGCGGCACCUCGGGCCAACGCGACCAGAUCGCAUUUUGCACGAGAAAUUACACACCAUGUUUUGUUGACAUGUGGUCGCGUUCUAACAUAUCAGUGAGACGAUGACGAGUAGUAGGAGUAUUUCCGAACGGACGUGUAGGCUGGGGCGCCUCUUCGUGAACCGUGGCAAACUCGCAACCGUCCACCGACUCUUCGCCUUUCCCUCUCGAUUUGGAACUGCUGUCGCACGCUCUUCCUCUCCCUCCUCCAUUUUCCUUCAACCCUUCACCCUUUCUUGUGCCAUUGUUCGAUAUCUUCUCCAUGGAGGGAACAUGCCGGAAACGACCCCGUUAUUUUUGCCCCGAUCUGAAAGAUGACGUGGUGGACGAACUCAUUGAUCGAUGCAACGUCAUCACCUCGGCUAGCAUGGCAGGUUCGUUCAAGCCCAUUCUCGACUCAACUAAUAACACCAUUACAAAGAACCCAAGAGUCAAGGAGCAGUUUGAUCUCCCCUAUCUUCUUCGCCGUGACCCCGAUGACUGGCGUCGGCACGACGGAGGCCUCGCCCUGUGCCAGUUGAUGCCGCUUGAUAAUGAUACGUAUGAUGUUAAGAUGCCAUCGCUUGAGGGCAAGGCUUGGGCGGGCGCAAAUGGAGAUUGGGUUGUUUACAUUGGGUCCAACUGCGAGUGGGAACUUGUGAAUGUGUACACUCGUCACUGUGUGCCACUUCCAAAAAUCUCAGCACACUGCCCAGAGGUUGAGCACACC